rnacentral:lncRNA from 1 species
ACCAGUUGUCACACACUGCUGUCCCCUGGUCUAGUUAAAGGGUUCUGAAGGCUGAUAGAAGUUAACAGUGUUUGGUGGCUUACCAUGGUUCACUGGGACUUAAACAGAAUUGACAAAGAGUAAAGGAGAAUUUGCUGAAAUACUUAUUUAAAGUCUAGUACUAAGCUGUCGGGUACCAUAGUCACUAGCUACACAUUGCUACUGAGCACCUGAAACAUGGCUAUUCUGAAUUGAGAUGUGCUAUAGGGCCAGAUUUGAGUGUGUGAAUUUUUGAGUGAAACCUGGAACCCAAAUGAGAAGAAAUCUGCAAGGAAUAACUACUGACAGUGAAUCUGCGGUCAUCUGUAUGCAUAAUAUGGAAUGUUCUUAACCCAGAAGUAGCUGAAUGUGUUACUCCAUUGCUGAGGAGUGACUAUCUGUUAUAGUCCCUGGGUCAAGACAACAAUUUUUAUACCUUCGUCGUGGUUCAGAAAGGAGUCUCUGUAGAACCAGAAGCAAAGAAAGGAAACAAUCCAAAUUUUUCUUUAUUAAAUCGACUG